GAGCGAACGCGGAUUAGCCCAAACCUUGAUCGUUACGGCGGUCGAGGGGUUGUAGGACUGCAAUGUGGACUAUACAAUGAAUUAGAAUGACUUGGGAAAGUCAACCAUAGAAGGUGAAAGUCCUGUAUAAGUAAAGUUGUAUUACCUAGCAGUAUCCUGAGUAAGGCGGGACCGGAGAAAUCCCGUCUGAAUCCACCGGCACCAUCCGGUAAGGCUAAAUACUUCUGAGAGACCGAUAGUGAACUAGUACCGUGAGGGAAAGGU
rnacentral:rRNA from 1 species